CAAGCGGCCGGGCGCGGGCGGAGGUGGGGGACUUGGAGAGAAAGUGUCGCCUAGAGUAACUUCGAGCUUCGUUUUGUCGUUUGCAUGAGUCCUUACUCGCGAUUAGGUGCUCAGUAAACAUUUGAAGGGGAAAAAGAAGAAAACACGGAAGGAGUGAAGAGAGAAACCUCAAGGACAUAGAGACAAGCAAACAGCGCUUCCUUGGGUCUGGAGUCUCUCUGAUCUAUUCUGCCUUUACCCUGCUGAGGACAGAUCACCUUGAGCGAAGUGCAACAGGACUGGUUCCAUAACUCGAGUCUUUAAAAGGAAGCCACAGCCUGUGAACACCCUCAGGGACACAGCCUGCAAUCUCAACCCAUUGCUCUGCGGAGAAGGGUGAUUGGCAACAGAAAGUAUGCUAUCUCCACCUGGGCGUAACCUGCUUGUUCUUUGGGAGGUCUGGGUGAUCUGUCUGUGACAGCUGUCAGCCACUGACAUCUUGUAGUAAGUCAUUUAUCUGUCUAGAAGGAGGGGUACAUACAUCGAUCAGUCCUCACUGCUCCAAGCACAUCCAUCUCGAGUUAUUCCUUCAAUUAAGGGGGGAUAGAGUUCUUCAGCCGAGAAAAUGAAACUCUUACUUCUCUUAGAUCUAGCUCAAAAGUCACUUGCCCAAUGACACCUUCCCUGAAGCCUCCUCUAUAAUAGGAAUUCACAUUUAGUGAAUAUUUGUAGGUGUUAGGCAUUGUGUUAGGUUCUUUCAAAUACAUUUUUUAAUCCUUGCAAUACGGUGUGGUCAUUAUUACCAUCAUCAUUUUCAUGGAGGAAACUGAGGCUCGGAGAGACUUAAGGUAACUCGUCUGAGGACCCACAGUGAGGGAAUGAAUGGUAGAGCUGGGAAGAGGACCCUGUUUGCCCGGUACAUGUCAAGUUAAUUGCUCCCUUCUUUGUUUCCACAGACCUUGAUGUUUACUUCUAUCUUGGGUUUUUUGGCAUAGCUCCCUCUUGUGUCCCCUAGGCCUUAGCACAAUGGACAGCUCACCACAACGUCCCCUUUAACCUUGCCCAGUUGAAUGACAGCCCUCUGCAAAAUUAGAAGCCUUUGAGAUCUCCUGUGUGGUUGAUUGCCUCCCUUUACAGGCUCUGCAGGGCUGUAUCCUGACCCAUAAUUGGAACCCUCAACCCCUCUUACCCUCUUUUUCUUUUCCAAUCCAUCCUUCCUCUCUCAAAGCAUAAAAGGAAUGACUGCAUCAUUUAUCUUGGCAAUGAAUCAACUGUUUAUACGUCAGCCCAAAAUAUGUUUUAGCUGAACGAGAUUCUCAAAUUCUUUCGGUCGUGAAAUGUUAAAAGCUAGAUAGGUGCAAGCUGUUGAACGCUAGGUGGUACUGUUCCUCUUCGCUGGGAUACCAGUGACCACACACAGGGUCCCUCUGCUUCCAUACUGUGCUGAGUCCUGAGACCCGCCUCUGGUGCCCUGCAUAAUUUGUUCAUUUUGUACAUAAAUGCUGCUGUUUCUGCUGGGACACAGGAAAAUCACUGACACAUAAGCAUCCCCUCCUGUGCCCUUGCCUGUAAUGAAUGACCCUAUGGCCUUCCCAUCCUUUUCAUGGGGAUCUAGUGUCCAUGGGGCUUCUAAUUUCCCUCAGCCUAUGCCUUCCUUGCUCUAAAAAAUCCUACCACUUUCAUGCAGAUAAUUUUCCGAUUUCAAGAAGGUCGAGGCUGCAUUUACGGCUUUUUCCCCUUAUUGCCUUCUCUAUUUUCCUUUCUUCCUGUGAAUUUUCUUCAUUUUGUCAAAAGUCCUUCUCAUGCCACCUAGUGCAUUUCUAGCUUUCUCCUAAGGCCCCCUUUAGUCUUCCAGGGAUCUCUUCUCAGUCAGUCUUUAAGCUCUGUUCU